GCCUACGGGGGGCAGCAGUAGGGAAUUUUCCCCGUUUGUUGAAAGCCUGAUGGAGCAACGCCGCGUGGGUGAAGAAGGUCUUCGGAUCGUAAAACCCUGUUGUUAGAGAAGAAAGUGCGUGAGAGUAACUGUUCACGUUUCGACGGUAUCUAACCAGAAAGCCACGGCUAACUACGUGCCAGCAGCCGCGGUAAUACGUAGGUGGCAAGCGUUAUCCGGAUUUAUUGGGCGUAAAGGGAACGCAGGCGGUCUUUUAAGUCUGAUGUGAAAGCCUUCGGCUUAACCGGAG
rnacentral:rRNA from 1 species